AUUGAACGCUGGCGGCAGGCUUAACACAUGCAAGUCGAGCGGGGAAGGGUAGCUUGCUACCUGACCUAGCGGCGGACGGGUGAGUAAUGCUUAGGAAUCUGCCUAUUAGUGGGGGACAACAUUCCGAAAGGAAUGCUAAUACCGCAUACGCCCUACGGGGGAAAGCAGGGGAUCUUCGGACCUUGCGCUAAUAGAUGAGCCUAAGUCAGAUUAGCUAGUUGGUGGGGUAAAGGCCUACCAAGGCGACGAUCUGUAGCGGGUCUGAGAGGAUGAUCCGCCACACUGGGACUGAGACACGGCCCAGACUCCUACGGGAGGCAGCAGUGGGGAAUAUUGGACAAUGGGCGAAAGCCUGAUCCAGCCAUGCCGCGUGUGUGAAGAAGGCCUUUUGGUUGUAAAGCACUUUAAGCGAGGAGGAGGCUAACGAGAUUAAUACUCUUGGAUAGUGGACGUUACUCGCAGAAUAAGCACCGGCUAACUCUGUGCCAGCCGCCGCGGUAA
rnacentral:rRNA from 1 species